CUUGACCUUGGAAGGUUUUGAUGCAGUUCUGAAAGGAAGUCACAGAGAUUGGCUUGGCUUUAUUAUUGCUAGCAGGUGGGGAUAAGGUGAUUCAACCAAGAGGGCUAUCCCUCGCUUGAUUUGAACCUUCUACCAGUUUUAACAAAAGGGGCAUCAAGGCUUUUCCAUCAGCAAGUCCAGACUAGGGCAAAGGAUGGUCUUUAAAGUCCUCAGCUGUCAAUGCUCCAAGGAAAAUGGAGUUGGGCUCUUAACACAACUUAUCCCUGAUCUUUGCCUUACUGAAGUUUCCUAUGCUUAACAUAGUUAAAUUUCAACAUGCUUUCGCAGUGCUCCAUGAUGCCCAUAGCUUGGGUGGUAGGAGACAUUCCGCUGAACAUCUCAUUCAUGAGCCAGUACUGGGUACCUGGAACUGUUCGAUGAGCCUUGUGCUCCCCAUUAACAGUGUUCGCACUCCAGGUGGUUAAAGGGAGGCUUUGUGUCAUCUCUAAUAUGUUCACAGAUGUGGAAGUUGAAAUUAAGUCUGAGGGAUCUAUAGAGCAAGAGAGUCCCAUUUUUUCUCUCCCAAAGGAGGAAAUCUUGGAUACAUAAUUAUUGUUAUCAUUGGCUAAACAGUUGGCAGCAGCUUGUGUUCAAGAUACUGUAAAAAUGCACAACUGGAAUUGUUUUGAGCAAGAAAGUGAAUCUGGAGAUAAAUUAGUCACCUAAACUUAGUUUAUAUUUGUUCACCAUUGGUUCUGGUCCUUUGUCAGAUUUGUUUGGGUUAAGGGACAUGAAGGCAGCUCUUUGGUGAGCUCUAAUAUAUCAAUGUUUUAGCGCUAUAAAGAAAGUUGAAAAUCUUCCACUGUUGCUCAUUUACAAACCCCAGGAAGUGAGGGUAUUCAGGAAAGGAAUGAUGUUGUCUAUUAGCUUAUUAAAUAAUUAGGUUUUUUGGAACAGAAAAAGCCACCUUCCUUGUAGGUUGGAUGACCUAGAAGGCUCAAAUUCAGUUCCAUCUCAUCUCUAAUUUUUUGGUUUUAGCAGUGAGGACCUUUUGAUAAAUUUAACUAAGUCCUGUGCUUACAAACUGGCCUGUCAUGAAUUGUAUCCCCUACAAGGAAGGGCUUUAGAAUUUGUUCAAGUCUCAAAACAGAGGCUCAUUAGUGUCUCUUUCCACACCCCCAGAAAUGCAUUCACUGUGAGCAAUUAGAAACCUUCUUUUCAUAUCUCCAAGGCUCAGCAAAGCCCCAUGAUUGCCACAAAUUUUCCAUGAAUUUCUGAUAUAAGAAAAUCCCUUCCCAGGACAUAUGUCAUUAGUUUGGCUUGUAAGUGUAGAGGUCCUCCAAGGUCUGAGCCUGUGGAACUUCACGCUUUGUAAAGGUUUCGAUGAGCCUUCUCAUUCAUCCCAGCUUCCUCCCGAACGAUGAUGUGCACUAUUCUGCUGUGGGACACCCUUCCUACCAUGAUGGAUUGAAAGCUCUGAAACAACAAGACUUUGAAUUUGGACAUUGGAGCAGUUGUUAGAACCAUCAUGACUGUGGAGAUUCUGAAGGACGGGCUGAGUUUACAUCUUAAUAUGCACAGAACCAAAGGCAGCCAGAGUUAGAGCACCAUUGUAUAAAUCGAUGCGCUUCAGCGUCAAGUUGACAAGAGUUAGAGCUGGUUAAUUUUUGUCAUCCAAUUGACUAGCUCUAAAAUCACCCAGGAGAUCGAUGGGGCAUACCUUUGUAAGUGAGAGAAGGAGAAAAAUUCCAGAAAGAAAACAAAAACCCGUCUGGUGGAAAAAGACUCAUUUUGAAUAUGGCUAUGUGGAGGAAAAGAGAAGAAAGCGAUAAGGUCAGAGUCUCAGUAUUUCUCAUUCUUUAUGUUUCGUUCUCCCCUGAGGGUAGCUGUGCUCCUUUGCCAUAGAGUGACGUCUCUGAAACUGUAAGUCAAAAUAAAUCUUUCCUCCUUUAUGUCAUUUUCCUCAGAUAUUCCAUUACAGUAACCGAUACACUGAGCGAAUUGCCUUUGCAAUAUACCGGAGCUUGCUACCACAAUCACUUCAUUAGAACAGAAGAUGCCCCUGUUACUCAGAAUAUUACAGAUGUCUUAGCAACUCCACACCAAAAAUCAGGGUUCAAAGCCUGAGCACCAAAAGAGAAGUUCCAGGAAUCAAACCCAGACGCUUAUGUUUAUCCUGUGUGCCCUCUUCCACUGAGAUGUCUUGCUAGCCCUGUUGUGGACUAUUUUUACAGACUCCAGACAGAACCUUCAAAUCUGAGUGUCAAAUUGUUUGAAAGAAUGGGACUAUCGCGUCAUCUUGUUCUCUACGUCUGCCAUGGAGGACUAGGAAAAUCUGGAGUGGGUACCUAUCUUAAUAUGUCACUUUGGACUUCCUCUGGUUAUUUAUUUAAAGUUAUAACACUUGUACUAUUGCAAACAAAAGUUCUGAACUUAUGGACAUAAAUGCCUGUGGUCUUUAUUAGAAUGUUAAAAUUAAUUUAGAGGGAAAAUUAAAGAUGAAUAUAUUUGCAGUCUACAGCUCAAGUUUUUAUAUCAUCAUUAUAUAUUAAACAAUAUUGGAAGUGGGAUGACUUCACAUGAAAGUGUCUUUAGAAGACAUGUCCUGUUUAGCUCCUCCCAUUUAUCAUCCUGCCAAUCAUCCAGUUAAGACUCCUGUUUUGGCUAUUUGAGCAAGUUAAAUCACCAUCUGAGGGGGGUCACUGAAAUUGCUGUUCUGUAUUUUCCAACAUAAUGCCAACUUUGCCUGUUUUAUGCUUUUAUAUCGUAUUAAAAUAAACCUGCAUUAUUUAUUAUGUGCUUAUUUAAGCAUGUAUUAAUAUGCGUAUUUAAUAUGUUGUAGACAGCAGUAUUUUACAUUAUGAUAUGUGUCUGUACACACGUAUAGAUAUUGAACGAGUAUUUGCAUAGAACUGCAGGUUGAGCUAACAGGUAAGUCUUUGACCAGGUAAUAACAGAAGAUAACAUGAUAGUUGGAGUGUGUGUGCAAAGGAGGAAGAUUGUGUGUGUGUGUGUGUGAGUGAGUGGUUUUUAAUUUAAUUCAGAUUUAGCUUCUCAUUCUUCUUCCACUUAAAAUUCAAUUCCUAACUGCAUGAGACUGAGUAAAAAAACCUUGUAGACACAUUCUGAUCUAUUUUGGGUUUUAAUUAUUGUGUGCAAAGUUUGAAAGUGCAUCAUAUACAGAAUAAGAGAUGCAGGAGAUUGCUAAAGUGAGUCACUUGGAUGUGCGAUGCAAACACAAGUUCCUUGUUAAGAAUUAAAGAAUUUUGCACAGAAAAAAUGUUAGCAACUCAGAAUUGUUUAAAAGUAAAACGGGACUAAAUGUUUAUCCCUCUUACUCUCGGGACUGUGGAAGAGUAGUGUGGAGCAUUUUCGGCAAAUCAGAGCUUGUGUCCAGGGCAGCCAUGUGUGGAGCAGGCUAAACUGAGUAUACGUAAUUGGCCCCACCCAUCUCUGUAGGGACCACUUAGAUCAAAGUUCAGGCUCUGGACAAUUACUCAAGCCAACAAGUAUUUCCUUUGAAGAGUUUCCUGGAAAAAUAAGAUUCAGGAGGACUGACAAAUGAUUCCGAAUGCCCCCUUUGGAGUAACCUACUGGUUUAGUCAUCUGUUAUGUUUAUGACCUCUGAAAACAUAAAAUUAUAAAAUCAUUCCCUUUGUUUAACUUCAAACUAUAAAUUGAUCUACAAAGUGCAUAUGGAUAUGUUAUUUUUAAGUAACUCACUAUAAUGCUUAAUGACACAUUGUUACUUUAAAACAUUUGCUUUACUCACUAGCAUUUGUUAGAUGUGGGUUUUUUAAUCUUAAUAUUUUUGAGAGUGUCAUACAUGAAUACUGCAUCUACAUUUCUCUGCGCUCUUUCUACCCUCUCCAACCC
rnacentral:sRNA from 1 species